UAAGCAUAUCAAUAAGGGGAGGAAAAGAAACCAACAGGGAUUGCCCUAGUAACGGCGAGUGAAGCGGCAACAGCUCAAAUUUGAAAUCUGGCUCUUUCAGAGUCCGAGUUGUAAUUUGCAGAGGGCGCUUUGGCUUUGGCAGCGGUCCAAGUUCCUUGGAACAGGACGUCACAGAGGGUGAGAAUCCCGUACGUGGUCGCUAGCUAUUGCCGUGUAAAGCCCCUUCGACGAGUCGAGUUGUUUGGGAAUGCAGCUCUAAAUGGGAGGUAAAUUUCUUCUAAAGCUAAAUAUUGGCCAGAGACCGAUAGCGCACAAGUAGAGUGAUCGAAAGAUGAAAAGCACUUUGGAAAGAGAGUCAAACAGCACGUGAAAUUGUUGAAAGGGAAGCGCUUGCAGCCAGACUUGCUUGCAGUUGCUCAUCCGGGCUUUUGCCCGGUGCACUCUUCUGUAGGCAGGCCAGCAUCAGUUUGGGCGGUGGGAUAAAGGUCUCUGUCACGUACCUCUCUUCGGGGAGGCCUUAUAGGGGAGACGACAUACCACCAGCCUGGACUGAGGUCCGCGCAUCUGCUAGGAUGCUGGCGUAAUGGCUGUAAGCGGCCCGUCUUGAAACACGGACCAAGGAGUCUAACAUCUAUGCGAGUGUUUGGGUGUCAAGCCCGAGCGCGUAAUGAAAGUGAACGGAGGUGGGAACCCGCAAGGGUGCACCAUCGACCGAUCCUGAAGUUUACGGAAGGAUUUGAGUAAGAGCAUGGCUGUUGGGACCCGAAAGAUGGUGAACUAUGCUUGAAUAGGGUGAAGCCAGAGGAAACUCUGGUGGAGGCUCGCAGCGGUUCUGACGUGCAAAUCGAUCGUCAAAUUUGGGCAUAGGGGCGAAAGACUAAUCGAACUAUCUAGUAGCU
rnacentral:rRNA from 1 species